rnacentral:rRNA from 1 species
GAUGAACGCUGGCGGCGUGCCUAAUACAUGCAAGUCGAGCGAACGGACGAGAAGCUUGCUUCUCUGAUGUUAGCGGCGGACGGGUGAGUAACACGUGGAUAACCUACCUAUAAGACUGGGAUAACUUCGGGAAACCGGAGCUAAUACCGGAUAAUAUUUUGAACCGCAUGGUUCAAAAGUGAAAGACGGUCUUGCUGUCACUUAUAGAUGGAUCCGCGCUGCAUUAGCUAGUUGGUAAGGUAACGGCUUACCAAGGCAACGAUACAUAGCCGACCUGAGAGGGUGAUCGGCCACACUGGAACUGAGACACGGUCCAGACUCCUACGGGAGGCAGCAGUAGGGAAUCUUCCGCAAUGGGCGAAAGCCUGACGGAGCAACGCCGCGUGAGUGAUGAAGGUCUUCGGAUCGUAAAACUCUGUUAUUAGGGAAGAACAUAUGUGUAAGUAACUGUGCACAUCUUGACGGUACCUAAUCAGAAAGCCACGGCUAGCUACGUG